AACGAACGCUGGCGGCAGGCUUAACACACGCAAGUCGAGCGCCCCGCAAGGGGAGCGGCAGACGGGUGAGUAACGCGUGGGAAUCUACCCAUCUCUACGGAAUAACGCAUGGAAACGUGUGCUAAUACCGUAUACGUCCUUCGGGAGAAAGAUUUAUCGGAGAUGGAUGAGCCCGCGUUGGAUUAGCUAGUUGGUGGGGUAAAGGCCUACCAAGGCGACGAUCCAUAGCUGGUCUGAGAGGAUGAUCAGCCACACUGGGACUGAGACACGGCCCAGACUCCUACGGGAGGCAGCAGUGGGGAAUAUUGGACAAUGGGCGCAAGCCUGAUCCAGCCAUGCCGCGUGAGUGAUGAAGGCCCUAGGGUUGUAAAGCUCUUUCACCGGUGAAGAUAAUGACGGCAACCGGAGAAGAAGCCCCGGCUAACUUCGUGCCAGCAGCCGCCGCAGUAA
rnacentral:rRNA from 1 species